rnacentral:rRNA from 1 species
AACGAACGCUGGCGGCAGGCUUAACACAUGCAAGUCGAGCGCCCCGCAAGGGGAGCGGCAGACGGGUGAGUAGCGCGUGGGAACGUACCCUUUGCUACGGAAUAGCUCCGGGAAACUGGAAUUAAUACCGUAUGUGCCCUACGGGGGAAAGAUUUAUCGGCAAAGGAUCGGCCCGCGUUGGAUUAGCUAGUUGGUGGGGUAAUGGCCUACCAAGGCGACGAUCCAUAGCUGGUCGGAGAGGAUGAUCAGCCACAUUGGGACUGAGACACGGCCCAAACUCCUACGGGAGGCAGCAGUGGGGAAUAUUGGACAAUGGGCGCAAGCCUGAUCCAGCCAUGCCGCGUGAGUGAUGAAGGCCUUAGGGUUGUAAAGCUCUUUCACCGGAGAAGAUAAUGACGGUAUCCGGAGAAGAAGCCCCGGCUAACUUCGUGCCAGCCGCCGCCGUAAGAC